rnacentral:lncRNA from 1 species
UGUAGAAAAUCGGCUGAUAGUAAAGCCCAGAGAGCAUUUAGAGCAGUCCGAUAGAUGACUGAAGGAGCUCAUUAUUGAAGAAAUUCAGAGGGUACGGUAGGAGUUCAUCCGUUGGAGGAAUCUGAAGGACAUUAUGGAAGGUCGACUACUGGAGGAGUCCGGAUGGUACUGUGGAAGAUCGGAUGGCCGGGAGAGUUCAGAAAGAUGCCGCACA